rnacentral:lncRNA from 1 species
GAGUCCCUAAAAUAUUUAUUGGAUGAAUUGAUUAAAACACAUCUGCUCCUGUGACUCCAUUGCUCUACACCUUCUGAUUGCUUCCUUCCCUCUCCAGCCUCCUUCCUUGCCUAUAAAAUCAAGGCCCAGCUUCCCAGCAUGGUAUUCAAGGUAUUCCAGGCUUCCGUCCUGGCACCCAACCUUUUUUUCAGCCCCGAUCUUCCUCACACACACCCUCCCUUAACAGCCAGGAGCAUGUGUGGAAACAGGAGGGAGCUCUGGGAGGGCUGGCUCCCAAAGGUGCCCCGUGCUUUUGCUGUUCCUGGCCUGGGUGGCCCUUUCCUACCCCAUCUCCCACCUGUCAGUUCCUAUCUUUCACUCAGACAUCACUUCCUCCAAGAAGCAUUCCAGGGUCCUUCUCAGGUCCAAUUAAUCUCUCACCCUCUCUGCAUCCGUGACAGCCCUUCCUGGGAAUGCCCUCCUUGCCACGCCACCAACUCCUUUAGGGCAAUUACUCAUCUCUGGGCACCGUCCUCCCCUCCCCCACCCAGUGUCUCAUCAUGCCUGGGACAUUUCAGGUUUUUUUGUUUUUUUUUUUUUAACUUGAGUUGAAGAAAAGCAUGUAGAAUAGGGAGAAUUCUAAGAGGAAAGGUUAAGCCCUGGGGAACGGGAUGGGACAAUUUCACCCUGUCAUCAGGAAGUGCUCCUAAUAGAAGGGCAGGGACAGGGUGUGUAAAUAAACCAGUUCAAAUUCUCAGAGCUCACUGGGCCUGUGGACCUCUCCAAGCACAAUCCAUCCAGUUUACAAAGAGGGAAAGGUCCUCGCCUGAGGACUCAGAGCCACCUGGUCAUUGAAGCACAGAAGGUAGAGCCAGGAAGGGCCCCUGGGGAUUGCCUGGUUCCAUGGUUCUUGCUCUUUCCUCAGCCUCCACUUCAGUUGCAUGUCCGACACAAACCCAUCAGGAAUGCCUGUCUUUACAUAUGGCAUCUCCAGCUGGAGGGUGGAGAGUGGGGGAGAGAGAGAGAGAGAGAGAUGGAGGAGGUGAGGCUAGCCUCCUCCCAGGACAGGUAAGGAAUGUGAGGCUCUGAGAGGUGGUAGAGACACAGGGUCACACAAGGCUGGGGAACCCCAUUUGGUCCUACUGCCUCACAGCUGGGGAGAUGAGAAGAACCUUAAGGAGGGAAUGGCUGGCAGAGCUAGAGUUUAAGGAGCACCUCUGGUCAGUAGUGGACUCACAUUUGAAAAAAUUCUCAGGCCGGGUGCGGUGGCUCACGCCUGUAAUCCCAGCACUUUGGGAGGCCGAGGUGGGAGGAUCGCUUGAGCCCAGGAGUUUGAGACCAGCCUGGGCAACAUAGUAAGACCCCAUCUCUACAAAAAUACAAACUAGACAGAUGUGGUAGCAUGCACAUGUAGUCCCAGCUACUCAGGAGGCUGAGGUGGGAAGAUCGCUUGAGCCCAGGAGUUUGAGGCUGCGGUGACCCUCGAUCAUGA